rnacentral:tRNA from 2 species
GCCCCCAUCGUCUAGAGGCCUAGGACGUAGCCCUCUCAAGGCUAAGACACGAGUUCGAAUCUCGUUGGGGGUA